UACGGGGGGGGCAAGCGUUGUUCGGAAUUACUGGGCGUAAAGGGCUCGUAGGCGGCCAACUAAGUCAGACGUGAAAUCCCUCGGCUUAACCGGGGAACUGCGUCUGAUACUGGAUGGCUUGAAUCCGGGAGAGGGAUGCGGAAUUCCAGGUGUAGCGGUGAAAUGCGUAGAUAUCUGGAGGAACACCGGUGGCGAAGGCGGCAUCCUGGACCAUUACUGACGCUGAGGCGCGAAAGCUAGGGGAGCAAACGGG
rnacentral:rRNA from 1 species